CACGCUGUAAACGAUGAGUACUAGGUGUCGGGGGUUACCCCCUUCGGUGCCGCAGCUAACGCAUUAAGUACUCCGCCGGGGAAGUACGCGCGCAAGAGUGAAACUCAAAGGAAGUGACGGGGACCCGCACAAGUAGCGGAGCAUGUGGUUUAAUUCGAAGCAACGCGAAGAACCUUACCUAAGCUUGACAUCCCAAUGACAUCUC
rnacentral:rRNA from 1 species